AUUGAACGCUGGCGGCAUGCCUUACACAUGCAAGUCGAACGGUAACAGGUCUUCAGAUGCUGACGAGUGGCGAACGGGUGAGUAAUACAUCGGAACGUGCCCAGACGUGGGGGAUAACGAGGCGAAAGCUUUGCUAAUACCGCAUACGAUCUAAGGAUGAAAGCAGGGGACCGCAAGGCCUUGCGCGUUUGGAGCGGCCGAUGGCAGAUUAGGUAGUUGGUGGGAUAAAAGCUUACCAAGCCGACGAUCUGUAGCUGGUCUGAGAGGACGACCAGCCACACUGGGACUGAGACACGGCCCAGACUCCUACGGGAGGCAGCAGUGGGGAAUUUUGGACAAUGGGCGAAAGCCUGAUCCAGCAAUGCCGCGUGCAGGAUGAAGGCCUUCGGGUUGUAAACUGCUUUUGUACGGAACGAAAAGGCUCUGGCUAAUACCUGGGGCACAUGACGGUACCGUAAGAAUAAGCACCGGCUAACUACGUG
rnacentral:rRNA from 1 species